rnacentral:rRNA from 1 species
GACGAACGCUGGCGGCGUGCUUAACACAUGCAAGUCGAACGGAAAGGCCCUGCUUUUGUGGUGUGCUCGAGUGGCGAACGGGUGUGUAACACGUGUGUAACCUGCCCUUGACUUUGGGAUAACUUCAGGAAACUGGGGCUAAUACCGGAUAGGAGCUCCUGCUGCAUGGUGGGGGUUGGAAAGUUUCGGCGGUUGGGGAUGGACUCGCGGCUUAUCAGCUUGUUGGUGGGGUAGUGGCUUACCAAGGCUUUGACGGGUAGCGGGCCUGAGAGGGUGACCGGCCAAAUUGGGACUGAGAUACGGCCCAGACUCCUACGGGAGGCAGCAGUGGGGAAUAUUGCACAAUGGGCGGAAGCCUGAUGCAGCAACGCCGCGUGCGGGAUGACGGCCUUCGGGUUGUAAACCGCUUUCGCCUGUGACGAAGCGUGAGUGACGGUAAUGGGUAAAGAAGCACCGGCUAACUACGUG